CAAGUACUCCCUCCAUCCGGAAUUACUUGUCAUCAAAAUGGAUGUGUCUAGAACUAAAAUACAUCUAGAUACAUCCAUUUCAAUGUCAAGUAUUUUCGGACGAAGGGAGUACAAG
rnacentral:pre_miRNA from 1 species